AGGAAGGGCGGCUACUGACCUGGGGCUAUGGGUUAUGCUGCUUCCUCGUUGCCCCUCCCUCCCAGGAGGCCUGGGAAGGAAAGGUUUCACUUUCGAAGGAUGAGCUGGCUAAACAGAAAGGCCCUGUCCAGUCAUUUGCAAUCAGACUUCGCCUGGUGGUUGCUACAGUGACUGACUUGAGGGGUAUCAGGGGUGUGGGGACCUCUGGGGAGAAGGCUGAGAGCCUGGAGACCCAACAGUAGUCGGUGAGGAACCACCAUGACUUGGUUUCAGAGUCCGCUGGUUUGGAGCAGAAAGGUAGGAACUGUAUCCUGCCCAUCCUCCCGUCCUGCUUCCCCAGACCCCCGACUCUGCCUCCUCUUUCCUCAGGAAAAUUACCGAACCAGGUGGGAGCUACAAAUACCCGUGGGGGUCCCGGUUGCUGCUGGUGUCCUGGCCCUUCUGGCCCUCCUGGCGUUGGCUUACCAUUGCCUCAAAGAGGCCUUGAAGUCCAGAUGGAGCCCCUGCCAUGAGGGCUGGAGGUGUCCUCAAACUGGAGAGAGCCUACAGCUUGUCUUCAUCCACAGCCCGGGUCAGGGCCAGCUGGGGACCCUCUCUUCAGAGCCCCAUGGCCCUGUACUGCCUUCCCCACUGUCCCUCUGAAGGCCCUACUGGUACCAGGACAGCCCCUCAGCUUUGGGUCUGAAGAGACCCCCAUGUUUCAGAGGAGGUUGCGGUAUUGGUCAAGCACCCUGUGCCUGUUAAUGUGGAUGAAGGAUUGAAUCCAUGGGAGGAGGUCCUCCAGGAUAAGAACAGAAGAUUGGUCUCCCCAGAGUACUGGGUAUCUUUUGGUCUUCCCAAGCAAGAGGCUAUAGACUGAGGCAAGUAGAAGAAGGCCUAAAUUAGCCUGUGGUAUCUCAAGUGGGCCCUGGAGACAUCCUUAAGUACAUCUCUGGUGUCUGGCCCUUAAAUCAGGUAAUCACACCUGACACACACAGCUAGGAAGAGCACCCCAUGGCAGCAACUGUGGAGUCUGCACUGGCAGGCUGAGGAGGGCCUGGAGGAGAAGUGGGUGUGGAAGCCUCCCGUCGCAGGGUGAGCAGCUUGUCUCCAGGUGAGAUGGAAGCAGAGGGAUGGGGAUGCACAUUAAAUCCCACUGUUGCUGGGCAGUGGUGGCACGUCCUUACUGCCAGCUCCCAGGAGGCAGAGGCAGGUGGGUCUCGGUUGUAGACCAGGCUGGUCUACAGGGUGAGUUCCAGGACAGCCACCUCAAGGGAAGACUACACAGAGAAACCCUGUCUCAUAAACCCAAAUCAAACCCUGCCACUGAGUUUUUGCUUGAAAUCCUCUUCUCCCUACCUACCUAGGGCUGAGAUUACAGACAUGUGCACCAGGCCCAGCUUUUCCCACGGGCGCUGGGAUUCUGACUCAGGUCCUUAUAGUUAUGUAGUAGGCACUAAGUGAGCCAUUUCCCCAGCCCUCAGACCGUCUUUUUUGACUGGAGACAAAUCUCAGGUGGGGAUAGAUCCUCAGCAGGUCCCCAUCCAAGUCUUGAUCUAGGCCAAGCAAACACCAUUGCCCAGGAGUUACUAACCAAACCCAUAAUGUCCCCAGCACUUGGCAGGUGGUAUGUGGUUUGUGGCAGCACAGACUAUUACUGACGCACAGCAGCUCUGUACCAUGAGACUACACAGGGUUUAUUGAGGGAAGCAGAUGAGCAGAGGACAAUGACAGGCACCAGGCCAUUACUAUCCCACAGGGGUGGCUGCUUCACGGCUUGCUUGCUGAGGGAGAGGGGCAUGCAGCUCUAUGACAGGAUGAGGACAACUCUGGCCAGGGUACAGCACGCAGGAGAUUCUGCCGUUCCCGGGGACAUUAGAGUGCCACUGCCGGCAUGGCUCCUGAGUCCUGCUAAACUCUUCUACAGGAGGUGGCUUUGAUGCCAUCUAACUGACCUUGUGCAUCAUGCAGCACCAGGUGGGCAACCCUCAGUGCUGCUGCUGCCACUAGAGCAUGCCUACCUGGUGUCACCUCCUCCUGACAUCUGGGCUGGCUCCCAAGAACUGUGGACACAGGUUUAAGUUGGGAAAGAACGCAGGGUGCAAAGUCUGCCAGGGAGGUAGAGCGAAGCCUUUAGCUCAUCCUGCUCUGCCACAGUGAGGGCUGGAUGCAAGCAGCAAGUGACUAAAGAUCAGGCAAGCCUCACACCUGCCCCUAAAAGAUGCCACAAAGCAAAACAAAACCCUGCUGUGACUUGCACUGUCUUCAGAGGGUGGCAAGAAGUUCCCGCACAUAUCCUGGUUUGGGGUGACUGCAUUUUGCUGAACUUCAUGGAGCGCACAUGGGAUCACGCCCACUGGAAAGCUCUCAGCAAGGCGUGCUCUGAAAGCAGGUGGUGCUGAGGCCCGGACAGCAGGGCAGGGCAGAGGUAUAUCGUCCAGACACACUUCUCCACAGCUGUCUAAGGUCAGAAUGGUGAGAGCAGCAUGGGACAGGCCUGCAGGCCACCCAUCUGGCUCAGUUACCACCCAAAGUCUAAGCGUUCCUCCUGGGAGACCUCUGAGGAAUCGUGACGGUCCUGGGUGCUUUGGAAGGGUUGCUGUCAAGUGCAUCUGAACGAUGGGCAAUGCCUGCGAGGAUGGGAAGCUUUGGGGAGCCAGCUGCUCCUCUGUUGCUCCAGAGAAGGCUCACCUCAGCAGGACUGGCUGCUCAGUUUUUGCUCUUUGAUUUUCCUGAUGACAGAGAAAUGUGCAUCAUUACAAAGGUUUAUUUAAGCCAGGCAUGCUGGUGCACACCUUUAAUCCCAGCACUCAGGAGGCAGAGGCAGGUGAAUCUUUGUUUAUGGUUAGCCUGGUCUACAGAGUGAGUUCUAGGACAGCCAGGGCUACACAGAAAAACCCUGUCUCAAAAAAUAAACAAAGCACUGAAGG
rnacentral:lncRNA from 1 species